GAUGAACGCUAGCGGCAGGCUUAACACAUGCAAGUCGAGGGGUAUAGUUCUUCGGAAUUAGAGACCGGCGCACGGGUGCGUAACGCAUAUGCAAUCUACCUUUCACAAAGGGAUAGCCCCAGAGAAAUUUGGAUUAAUACCUUAUAGUAAUACGACUUGGCAUCAAGAUGUAUUUAAAGAUUAUCGGUGAAAGAUGAGCAUGCGUCCCAUUAGCUUGUUGGUAAGGUAACGGCUUACCAAGGCAACGAUGGGUAGGGGUCCGUGAGAGGGAGAUCCCCACCACUGGUACUGAGACACGGACCAGACUCCUACGGGAGGGCAGCAGUUGAGGAAUAUUGGACAAUGG
rnacentral:rRNA from 1 species